GCUUGUUGUAUUUUCAUAUAUGUUUGCAUAUUUGAUGUAAUAAAUGCACCUAUUUUCCACAGAUACACUAUAAAAUGAGGAAGAAGAUACAAAGCAUUAUGAAAGCUAUGCAACAGUUGGCACAAGCAAAAGAGAAAAUAAACAUGUCUACUUUCAUUUACAGUUCAUAACCCAAACAGCAGCUCAUUUAAAACUUCACUGAAUCUAGUCCUUAAACAUUUGUGAGUAUCCUGAUUUUACUCAGCACAAUGACGUCUCCAGUGGGAUUAUUGCUUUUGCUUCUCACUUAUGCAGCCUCAGCAGCUCCAGCUGUCAGCACUCCAGCAACAACAAGAAAUACAACUCCAGCGGACACUGAUUGGACACCAACAACUCUGAUGGAAACUGCUCGGACACAAACAAGUGCACGUCCUCAAGCUGGCAUACACCUUAACGGUGGCAUCAUCGCUGCCAUUGCCAUUGGCAUUUCCGCUGUUCUUGUGACGGUCGUAAUAGCCUUUUAUGUAAUAGCCCGGAAGUGUGGUGCAACAGACAGCGAAAUCACAACAUUUUGCGACAUACUUUGCUCUUGUUUGCGCUGUUGUCUGGCGUGCUUUGAGUUUGUGGUUGUCAUAAUGGAAGAUACUGAGUAAAAGAGUUUGCUCUUUGCUCUUUUAGAUAUUGAAGAUUUUUCCUUCAUACUGUUUUUAUUGAAUCUUUUUUUAACAUCUGUUGUGCAACACAUGUUUAUGCUUGUAUGUUCUAAUCCAACAUCAUUUCUAUUUCCGUCAAAGAAAAGACCUUAAAAGUUGAAGAACUGCCAUUUCUUGUUUCACCUACAGAUGUUUAAGAAGUUAAUGAAACUAAGUGGCAUUUAUGUUGUGGUUUUCUACAAUUAGUGAACACCACUGUGUGGUUACUACAACCAACAUUCACACAGAUCCACACAUGCAUACAGUACUUUCAAACAAUCACUCUUGAAGAGAUUUUCCUUGAAUUUUCAUGACAUUUUCCAUGAAAUCCUCCAUGAACCGCGAUCAUGUCACACAUUCAAAUAUGAGGUCAGCAGCACAUACUUGGCCAGGCAAAACUUCAGCAAGCUGUCAGGUCUGUUGAGUGUAAAUUUAUCCUUCUCACCUUCAUGUGUUUCUAUUUCUGUCCUUAUUUUUUUCCAUGUCUGACAUUCAAAUAUUCCUCCACUGUAAUCAGUUAUCAUAUUUUUGAUGUUGCAUUUUACAUUAAUGCUGCAUUUUGAUUGCAAAAAUACAUUCAUAUUCAAAACAACUUUACUUUUGGCUCCCUUGUUGGCUAGAGUUGAACAACUAACCAGCAGGUGGUGCAGUUGUACAUUUUAUAUUUAAGUUACGUUUGGGGAUGUUUGGCUCCUUAGAAAGUUUGUUCCAUUAUAAUUUAACACAGAUUUUUAGGCAGCAUCUUGGAGGUAUAAGUUUUUGGUUCCAAAUCAUCUCAAAUAAACACUCAAACCAGGCUUUCAAACCCCAGAGACACACAGCACCAAAAAUUGGUCCACCCCCAGAAUCGGGUCCCUCGACACAAACAGAAUAAUGUUGUGUACGAUGUUAAGAGGCAGGAGGAUUGCCGUGAUUUAUACGGGAAAAUAUAGACACCAAACCUUCAUACUGUAAAUGUUGUUUUCUGUGUUUACAUUUCACCUGUGAAUUUAUUUUGUACUUUUCCUGAUUUAUUUAGUUUUUAUCCGUUUUACUUUGUGUGUGCCCUUUUUUAUUACUUUAGUGUGAAAAAACUUAUUUUUUCUUUGAUGAUUUUUUCUAUGUCAUGGAGAACGCCUCCCUUCCCUGAGCAUGUUUCUGUUGGAGGUUUCUUCCUGUUGAAAGGGAUUUUUUUCCUUCCCACUGUUGCCAAAGUGCUAAUAGGGGAUCAUAUGGUUGUAGGGGUUUUGCUGUUUCGUUUGUAUUAUUGUACAGUCUUUACAAUAUAACGCAACUUGAGGCAUCUGUUGUUGUUAUUUGGUGCUAUGUAAAUAAAAUGAAGUGAACUGAAUGUGUGUCCCACAGAAAU
ensembl:lncRNA